rnacentral:rRNA from 1 species
AUGUCAGAGAUUCAGAAUGCUCGCUGUAUCAUGGAUUUACUGCCAGAGAUGUUGAAUGCUUUAGACCGUGGAAACAGAGAGCUGGCCAAGAUAUUUGAGGCCAAGAAGUUGAAGAUAGUUCCUAGUUGCCUUGCCAUACGCUGUGUUUGUCAUCCUCACUGGCGAACUGAUCAUAAUAUCAUCCCACCAGCGUCCGUCAAUAUGAUCGCGGGUUCCUCUCUUCAAUUGGCUCUGUCUUGGCGAGAAGAUUUGAUGGCAGCUUACUGA